AUUGAACGCUGGCGGCAGGCCUAACACAUGCAAGUCGAGCGGAUGAAGGGAGCUUGCUCCUGGAUUCAGCGGCGGACGGGUGAGUAAUGCCUAGGAAUCUGCCUGGUAGUGGGGGAUAACGUCCGGAAACGGGCGCUAAUACCGCAUACGUCCUGAGGGAGAAAGUGGGGGAUCUUCGGACCUCACGCUAUCAGAUGAGCCUAGGUCGGAUUAGCUAGUUGGUGGGGUAAAGGCCUACCAAGGCGACGAUCCGUAACUGGUCUGAGAGGAUGAUCAGUCACACUGGAACUGAGACACGGUCCAGACUCCGACGGGAGGCAGCAGUGGGGAAUAUUGGACAAUGGGCGAAAGCCUGAUCCAGCCAUGCCGCGUGUGUGAAGAAGGUCUUCGGAUUGUAAAGCACUUUAAGUUGGGAGGAAGGGCAGUAAGUUAAUACCUUGCUGUUUGGACGUUACCAACAGAAUAAGCACCGGCUAACUGCGU
rnacentral:rRNA from 1 species